rnacentral:lncRNA from 1 species
CUGCACUUGGACCAGACGGAGAAGGAACAGGCAUGUCUCACAAGGAGGACAGACUUGGACUCACGCCCUGGCCCAACAAUUUGUGAGAAUGGGGGAUUCUUCUGUGCGCAAGGCUGGACGCGGGGCGUUGUUUCCAGAACGCCCCCUGGACUCACCAUCAAAGAGGCUAAAUUACGCUAAGGAUUUACCUGCUUCUUCCCAUCAGGUGAGGAGCCUGGAGGUGGGUGUCCUUGAGGAUCGGCCUCAUGGCCUGGGCAGCGGCAGUGAGUGGGACCAGCUUAGGGGCCUGAGCAGGAGUCUCCACCUCCUCGGACUGCAGUUUCUCUGGCAGGAAAACGGAGCGACAGCCUGGCAGACCCCCCGGCGCUGCAAGCAGGGCAGACAGGCGGCCUGAGACCCAGGGACCCGACGGUCACGGCCGCUCCGCCAGGCGCAUUCGCGGGCAUGGACCGCCAGUCUCCAGGAGCUCUGUGAAGUGACCAUGCAGCCAACCCUGCUGUCCAGGUGCUGAAAUGGCCCAGAGAGGCUGAGAGACUGCCCCAAAGCCACACAGCGCCCAGGAAGCGGCUGUGUGUCCAAUGCUCCCCCUGUCCUCCUCCCCCCACCAUUAGGAAACUCCGACUCCCAGGAGAUGACAUCCGUGGGUGACUGAGCUCAGAUAGGGCCAUGGGAUGGGACCCCUAGAGCGGAUUUGUGCCCCCAUAGGAAGAGGAAGACGCAGGAGACCCACCGCCACCCCGCAGACCCAUGCAACUACAGCAACAAGUCCGCAAACCAGCAGGGGGGUCUGGCCGGGACAUGAGCACGGAGCCACGCGAUCCCGGGCAGCCAGCCUCCAGCACUGCGAGGACUGAUCCCCGCCAUCUCAGCCGCCCAGUCUAGGGCAGCCCCAG